rnacentral:rRNA from 1 species
GGGGGAAUAUUGGACAAUGGGCGCAAGCCUGAUCCAGCCAUGCCGCGUGAGUGAUGAAGGCCCUAGGGUUGUAAAGCUCUUUCACCGGUGAAGAUAAUGACGGUAACCGGAGAAGAAGCCCCGGCUAACUUCGGGCCAGCAGCCGCGGUAAUACGAAGGGGGCUAGCGUUGUUCGGAUUUACUGGGCGUAAAGCGCACGUAGGCGGACUUUUAAGUCAGGGGUGAAAUCCCGGGGCUCAACCCCGGAACUGCCUUUGAUACUGGAAGUCUUGAGUAUGGUAGAGGUGAGUGGAAUUCCGGGUGUAGAGGUGAAAUUCGUAGAUAUUCGGAGGAACACCAGUGGCGAAGGCGGCUCACUGGACCAUUACUGACGCUGAGGUGCGAAAGCGUGGGGAGCAAACAGG